CAGAUUGUGUGUAUCCGCGUUAUUAAUGUGACUGGUGUGUAGACAGUCACACGGCAAAGAACCAGUUCAUCUUUCAGGUAAAGCUGAAUGAAAAACUCCAGAGGACACGACAGCUUUGUGAGCGAUGACGAAGGAGAAGCUGGAGAACAAACUACAGCAGACGGUGUUUUGUUGGUACCAACAUGAAGCUGAGUGCUGAGCAAGUUGCAGCGUCUGCAGCCAGCAGGAGCUCCGAGAGGCUCAGCAUGCCCACAUUCAGCCUCCAAAACAGCCCUGCAUUUUACAGAAAGAGGAGCAUGGACGACAUUCCGGUAUUUUUUUACCUGCAGCACGAACAGCUCAUGGGCUCAACCUUCAGUCUGCAGCCUGCAGUGGAGAAAGUUGUGUGCGUGAGGACCAGCAGUAAGGGAUACACUCCUUGUUUCUAGAUUCUCUCAAUCUCACAGUGAUGCUGUCAGGAAGAAUGAAUCCUUGAAGUGGACCCACUGAGAUUCUUAAUUCCAGUUGAAGCAACCUGCAGCAGAAACAGAAAUCCCAAACCAGAUUUUUGUAUUGAAAUUGUGGUCAUGUUUAAGUCUUUGCACAUAGUUUAGUUUUGAUAUGUAAUCCUGUUUGUGUAUGUUGCCAGUCAUGACACUAACAACACGACAAAGUUGUUAGUUGAUAUUGGUUAGCUUAAUAGAAGCUCAUAGAACUGUAGUAGUUACAUCCAGUAACGUCUCGUUUAUCUGAAAUCUGAUUUUGCUGAUAAGGUAUUGUAGCUGCUUUACCUUUAAAUGAUAUCCGUUAUUUAUCCGUUUGAAUAAUUCUCUGAGAGAUUAUGAGUAGAGGAUUAAGAUUUAGCUCCUUUCUCAUCAUGUUAUUUAUCAUUCAUUUCUUUUCUAUAAAAUAUUGGGGAAACUGCAACGACCCUAGACACCGUUAAACUGAGAAAUUAAAUAUUUAUAUUUAUACAGAACUAAAUUAUCCCGCAUUAGUUUAAAUGAUAUGUUAAAAAAAAGCUGUAUUUUAGAGCCUUCGUCAUUUUAAAUUCAUUUUUGUUUUGCCUUUUUAAUCUGAUCACCAAACAGAUAAAUAUACGUUAUUAGUUUUUUUGUACACCUGUAUACUGUUAAGGUUGAGCAAUUAUUUUACAUUAAGCCUUUUUUUUAAAUCAGAAUUGACUGUUCAUCUUUCAUAACAGAAAAGCAAAAAGGAACCUUGUGUUUUAGGAACAUUGGUGAUAUUAAAGAAUACAUUUUGAAGUUUUCACAUUUAGAAAUACAGAAACCUUGUAAAACCUGGAAAUGUUCUGAUUUUCUAAAAAUAUUUACCAAAUUGUUCCUAAAUAAGCUGCAUUAUGUACCAUUUAUACAACCCUGAAUUUUGUAUUCCCUUUAUGAAUGUUGUAUUGGUCCCUGUGGGAUUGAAAGUGUGACAUCGGGAAAAGAUGUUAUGUUUUUAGUGCCUCUUCUUUCUGUUUCACACAAUGUUUUUACAAUACAUUUGUAAAUAUAA